CGCCUUUGUUUGUGUUGGAA
rnacentral:snRNA from 1 species